AUUGAACGCUGGCGGCAGGCCUAACACAUGCAAGUCGAGCGGAGCGGCGGUCGGGUGCGUAAUGCCUAUGAAUCUGCCUGGGCGUGGGGGAUAACGUCCGGAAACGGGCGCUAUUGCCACUUCCUCUUAGAUGAGCCUAGGUCGGAUUAGCGAGUUGGUGGGGUAAAGGCCUACCAAGGCGACGAUCCGUAGCUGGUCUGAGAGGAGGAUCAGCCACACUGGAACUGAGACACGGUCCAGACUCCUACGGGAGGCAGCAGUGGGGAAUAUUGGACAAUGGGCGAAAGCCUGAUGCAGCCAUGCCGCGUGUAUGAAGAAGGUCUUCGGAUUGUAAAGCACUUUAAGUGGGGAGGCGUUACUAGCAGAAGAAGCACCGGCUAACUCCGUGCCAGCAGCCGCGGUAAUUC
rnacentral:rRNA from 1 species